GACGAACGCUGGCGGCGUGCUUAACACAUGCAAGUCGAACGGUAAGGCCCUUCGGGGUACACGAGUGGCGAACGGGUGAGUAACACGUGGGUGAUCUGCCCUGCACUUCGGGAUAAGCCUGGGAAACUGGGUCUAAUACCGGAUAGGACCACUGCCUGCAUGGGUGGUGGUGGAAAGCUUUUGCGGUGUGGGAUGGGCCCGCGGCCUAUCAGCUUGUUGGGGGGGUGAUGGCCUACCAAGGAGACGACGGGUAGCCGGCCUGGGAGGGUGACCGGCCACACUGGGACUGAGAUACGGCCCAGACUCCUACGGGAGGCAGCAGUGGGGAAUAUUGCACAAUGGGCGCAAGCCUGAUGCAGCGACGCCGCAUGAGGGAUGACGGCCUUCGGGUUGUAAACCUCUUUCAGCACCGACGAAGCGCAAGUGACGGUAGGUGCAGAAGAAGGACCGGCCAACUACGUGCCAGCAGCCGCCGUAA
rnacentral:rRNA from 1 species